CAAUAGCGUAUAUUUAAGUUGUUGCAGUUAAAAAGCUCGUAGUCGGAUUUUGGCUGAGAACGAUUGGUCCGCCGUUAGGUGUGCACUGAUUGGUCUCAGCUUCCUGGUGAGGAGGUGUGCUUCACGGCCACUUAGUCACCGUGGUUACUUUGAAAAAAUUAGAGUGUUCAAAGCGGGCUUACGCUUGAAUAUAUUAGCAUGGAAUAACACCAUAGGACUCCUGUCCUAUUUCGUUGGUCUCGGGACGGGAGUAAUGAUUAAGAGGAACAGUUGGGGGCAUUCGUAUUUCAUUGUCAGAGGUGAAAUUCUUGGAUUUAUGAAAGACGAACUUCUGCGAAAGCAUUUGCCAAGGAUGUUUUCAUUGA
rnacentral:rRNA from 1 species